GAGAUUUUUUCAUACUUGUAUGAAAUCUCCCACCCUUUGUGUUACCAAAUUUUAUUACUUUGGUGAAGCGUUCUUGCAGUUUGUUUCGGCAGCUGCGGGGCCAUCGGCUUUGUUAUGAAGCGGGUGUGUUCUUCGCCAAAGGAACCAUUAACUCUUAUUAUUUAUCAAUUGUCUGAGUUUAUAUUUUAAAUAAACAAAACUUUCAACAACGGAUCUCUUGGUUCU
rnacentral:misc_RNA from 1 species